AUGAGACAAACACCAAGUCUAGGGUGCCAACAUUUGGGCUUUUACACUACUUUGAGUGAGCUACUGCUGCUCCAAGACGCCGUUCUGUCACUACCUGUUGCUCUGGCUAAUUUACGGGUGCCCCUGCUGCAGGGUCUGGCAGCAUUGCUGAGACCUUUGAUGCCUGAUGGGGGUUUGAACUGCCCUUUGCAUUGGGCUAGGGCACUGUCUAAAAGCUUUUUCUUCCUUUGCAGGGGGAGCCUGGACCUAUGGCCCCGAAAGGAGAAAAGUCCCGCAAGAGGCGUUCGCGGGUGAAUGCUGACCCUGAGCCUCCAAGUCCAAAGGUACAGAGCCUUUGUCUAGACAUCUCCUGUAUCUCAGUUUUUAUGGGGGCCCCUCUACUCCCAGAGUCAUUCUCCUGCUGCCCCAUUGUGCAUUUCAUUGGAUCUUUGUAUGGAAGAAGUUAAACACCAUCUCAGCCCCUUCAUUAUUCCCAGAUGAGAAAACUAGAACAGAGAGAGACCAAUGUGUUGCCAUUAGGAUUUGGUGAAUCGGGACUAGAACUAAUAGACCCCAACCUCGCACUCUUGUCCUCUAAACACUACCCUAGAUAAUACCACCUCUCAACUAGCCCCCUAAGUCAUGGACACUUUACUGGUGUGUAUCCUGACACUAGGCGCGUGUGUGCAUGUUUGUACACACAUCUCUGUAGAGAGGCUUAGCAUCCCAGAGAUAUUCUGAUAGCUGGGAUCUCAACCCCACGCUCUCAUUAAGCUCAUCUCAGGAUGACACGAACACAGUAUAAGAAUAACAGGUUACUUUAUUUUUUAGUAGUCUCUGCUGGUUCUUAUCCACUGGCCUCAGGGAUGGGGUUAAAGAAACACACUGCUAUUGUCCAGACAUUAUUUAAUCUCACGUUUGAAGGUGAGCAAUGUACUGCAAAUGUCUGUUACUUGAAUAAGAGACAAAUCGCUAACAGGGUCAUGCUGACCAAGGGGUGUCUUUGGAACAACGGAAGUUGUGCAACUUGGCGAAAGGAAGCAUCUUAAGGGUGGGUACAAAUGCAGCUCUUUUUAACUGCUUAAGUUCCUGCAAAACGUUUAAUCAAAAUACAGCUAUUAUUGACCCGAGGCUGUGGCAUAUGUUACUGGUACUACUGCCCUUGUUUGGGUUAAUAGUGAAACAGCGAAUCUAGUCCCCUUUGUUGUUAAACUGUGCAAAUCCGCAUCUCUGAUUGUCAGACUGUCAAAUACCAGUGUCUGUUUGUCUGUGUAACAUAGGCACUAUCAGAAUAAAUAUGAUUCUUUCUAAGGGCCA
rnacentral:lncRNA from 1 species